AGAAAGAGAAGCAAGGGCGUACGGAGGAUGCCUUGGCUUCCGCAGGCGACGAAGGACGCGGUAAGCUGCGAAAAUGUCCGGGGAUUGGCAAACACGAAUUGAUCCGGAUGUAUCCGAAUGGGGCAACCCGGCAGGCUGAAGGCCUGUCACCAGCGAAGCUGGAGCGAACGCGGGGAACUGAAACAUCUUAGUACCCGCAGGAAAAGAAAGAAAGAUCGAUUCCCUGAGUAGUGGCGAUCGAAACGGGAAGAGCCUAAACCGUGGAGUUUACGGACUUUGCGGGGUUGUAGGAUCUCGAGCAAAUACCUGAUGCAGGAACCGGAAGCGUCUGGAAAGUCGCGGCGUAGCGGGUGAUACUCCCUUACGGGCAACGGGCAUCGGGUCAUCGAGACACCUGAGUAGGGCGGGGCACGUGGAAUCCUGUCUGAAUCAUCGGGGACCAUCCCGAAAGGCUAAAGACUGCGGAAGACCGAUAGUGGACCAGUACCGUGAGGGAAAGGUGGGAAGCACCCCUGGCAGGGGAGUGAAACAGAACCUGAAACCGUACGCUUACAAGCGGUCGGAGCCGUCGCAAGGCGGUGACGGCGUGCCUUUUGCAUAAUGAGCCUACGAGUUGCUUCUGCGCGGCGAGGCUAAGUCCUUCAGGGAUGGAGCCGCAGCGAGAGCGAGUCUGAACA
rnacentral:rRNA from 1 species